GGAAGGGUGGCAGAGCGGCCGAAUGCACCGGUCUUGAAAACCGGCGAUGGGAAACCAUCCGUGGGUUCAAAUCCCACCCCUUCCG
rnacentral:tRNA from 1 species